GAGAGUGUAGCUCAGUUGGUAGAGUACUUGCCUAGCAUGCAAGAAGCCCUAGGUUCAAUUCCCAGCACUUUAUAAACA